UGCUGCUGUAUUUAUGUAUUACAUAUAGGUUGCCUAUUUGAAUUCUUUGGACGCUUAACAGCAAAUGAUGUAAUUGAGAUAAUAAUGGAGUGCAUAUUCACCCUGUCAGUACAACUUGGUUGGUAGGAGGAAAGAAAAAUGGCACCAGGAAAUUAAUUCUCAGAAAGAUGAUAAAAGAUGCUGCUGCCAAAAACAGCAACAUAAAAGAGGCAGAAGCGGAACUACAUCUUAGAAAUUGGUUAAGAUAUGCAUCAGACCGAAGUGGGCACCGCAAAAGGACGCAUGAUAAGAGGACACUUGAGGAGGAGAUGCAACAUGCCAGCAGUCAUGGAGACGUCGUCGGAAUCCGAAACAGAUGAUGAACAAGAUUGUGGUAUUUCGAUAAUAAAUGUUACAACUGUA